AUCUGAGAGAUCGCUGGCUAGCCGGCCUGUGUGCCUCUGGCUGAAUUUUUAUUUAUUUUGUUUCAUUUCAAUUUACUCAUGCAAAAGUGUUGAUUUUUUGUUCAGCUCUGCCCGGCUAUUACGUCAAUGGAACAAAAACACUGACGCUUGUAGUUGUACGAAUACGAGUAUCUCUAUCUGUAUCUGUAUCUUUGGCCGCAGCUGUAGAUGUAGAUGUAUCUGUAUCUUUGGCACUGCGGCAACUACAGUGUUCAUUUCAAUGUUUUUAGGUUCUGUUCUUCUCUUUCUCUCACUCUCUGAUUUAUCUGCCAUUCGCGAGUUUCUUUAUUUUUCACUAUUUCGGUUGUAUUUCUUUUUUUGCGAUUUAUUUUUUUGUUAUUAUUUCUAACAUGUAUUUUGCGGCGACGUCGACGCCAGCAGCGCUCACUUGUUAUUUCCCCUCCCCCUGUUUCUUCGCUGUAAUUUGUAUAAAUAAACACGAAAUUGUAGAAACGAGAAUAGAGAGAGGAGAACCCCGCGAAAACCGAGAAUAUUUUGCACAUUAACAAUUUAUGAAGGAGCUGGGGCAAUUAGAACGCCUUGAAAUUGGACUUUUCAAAGGGGUGGGAAUGAAGGUUAGCAUCUUCCCCAGGUGUAAAAAAAAAAAGUAGUAUUUAAAGGAACUCAAUAUUCUUCGAUUAGAACGAAGCGAAAAGUAUCUCUGCUGAUAAGAGCUCACACUCAAUUAAUUGCCUGGCGUAAACAAAAUAAUUAAAAUACGAAAAGCGCUCCUCGAACCUAUUUUAAUAGUUUUAAUUGACAUCAUUUUGUAAAUUCAUUCAGUUGCUGUGCGUUCUAUUAAGUCUAAGUGCAUCGUUUAUAAUCAUUAUUUUGCUAAGAGAAAAUCCUCACUAGGAUCUGGGUUUCAUAAAAAUGGAAUGUACUUUAAAUAUGGAAACAAGGAAUGAAAUAAAUUAAAAUGUCAUUAACCUAAUGGCAAAACUAUGGGUACAUAUGUACAUUAAAAUGUGGCCAAUAAACUUUCCAAAUAUUUAAAUGGCUUUUAUUGGCAUUCUAACGAACAUAUUACGAUUGAGCACGUUCUACAAUUUAAGUAUGGAAAUAUGUGUGAACUUAUUCAAAUGCGACCAUAUAUAUUUAUAACAAUAAAGUGGUGAAGAUACAUUUUUUAAUUUAA